rnacentral:rRNA from 1 species
AGGACGAACGCUGGCGGCGUGCUUAACACAUGCAAGUCGAGCGGAAAGGCCCUUCGGGGUGCUCGAGCGGCGAACGGGUGAGUAACACGUGAGCAAUCUGCCCUUAGCUCUGGGAUAGCUCCGGGAAACCGGGAUUAAUACCAGAUAUGACCACGGCCGACAUCAGCUGUGGUGGAAAGAAUUUCGGCUAGGGAUGGGCUCGCGGCCUAUCAGCUAGUUGGUGGAGUAACGGCCCACCAAGGCGACGACGGGUAGCCGGCCUGAGAGGGCGACGGGCCACGACUGGGACUGAGACACGGCCCAAACUCCUACGGGAGGCAGCAGUGGGGAAUAUUGGACAAUGGGCGCAAGCCUGAUCCAGCCAUGCCGCGUGAGUGAUGAAGGCCCUAGGGUUGUAAAGCUCCUUUGUGCGGGAAGAUAAUGACGGUACCGCAAGAAUAAGCCCGGCUAACUUCGUGCCAGCAGCCGC